ACAAAGCCUAGAUGUGGUUUAAAGUGGUUGCCUGUUAGUCAUACUAAUUGUAGAAUAAAUCUUUGAUUCUCUUGAUCCAUUGAUUAUGUAUUGAUACAUUGAGGAUCUGAUGGUUCCCUUUUCGAUGCAUGCUUGUGGAGCCAUUUUUUAGACCACCUAUCUAUUGGUUUGAAGGAAGUCCUUGCCUAGCCUAGAGUUGGUUGGGUGUGGCUAGUCACCUAUUCCUAGAUCAUGUGGUGUUUACAUCAGCUUAAUAUGUUUGUCAAAUGUGUGAAGGAUUAGGGGUUAUUAUUAUUGACUUUGUAUGUCUGGUACUUUGAGUGCAUCGUAUGAUAGAAUGAAAUGUAAGUUUCUGAACUACAGUAGAUGAAGACUUAUAUUAUGUGUAGGUUAUCCUUACUAGUUGGAUAUUUUUCUUAGUUGAGAUGUUGAAUGAAGUAUAGUGACAUGGGUUAAGCAAGUAUUGUGUUGUUGUUGGGCUAUCAGUGCUCUAUGUAGAGUUUUUGGCAUUUCUUCGAUGAACUAUGCCGCACAAGAUGUUAUUGGCUUCUUUUGGCUUUAUUGCUCCAUUAGUUCUAUAGAUUUUCUCCCUUUUGGUGGGGUGCAAGGAAUGUUAGAUUACAUGAUUAUCUUUUCAUGAUGGCAAGAAUAAGGUUUAGGAAGAUUAGGAGUUUUGUUCCAAUAGAACUACUUGUUUCAUAGUGCUUUAAGGUGAGGUGUUUGAUCUUCUUAUACAUUCGUCGGGUGUAGAUGUUUCACCAUUUAAUUAAAAUUAAUGGUUGAAGUUGGUAAGGGUUGUGCUUGGUGCAUAUUACCCCUUCAUAAAAGAGUGUUGUCUUAAGACAUUGAUGUUGAUGUAUAGCUGCAUCCAAAUUUGAUGGUGUGAAAUUGGAGUGUUGAUUGCAACUAUGACAUGCUUUGUGCUUCAUUACAUGUUGUUUCAUGCUUGAUGUCAGGUCGUAUAGUUUCCUUAGACAAUUAGUCCAAGGUAGAAGUUCUUGUGUUAAUUAAGACCAAUAAUGGACCCAUGUUUUGAAUUGUGGUGCUAUAUGGGGUACCUUGGGUGUUUUGCUUGGAGUGGCCGAAUUCGAGGUCGAAUUCUUUUUAAGAGGGGUAGAGUGUAAUAUCCCAAAAAAAAAUGUUGACCAAAAGUUAAUCUCUGGUGCGUGGAUGAGGUAAAGGGUUGUGGGCCAUUGGAUGCAAAGAUAGAAGUCAUCUGAGGCGUCGUUUCUUUCUCCCACAAAAAACCCUAGGUGGCCACCCCUUUUUUUUCCCUUCACCCCCCUCUUGGCCGCCACCCCCUUUUUCUCCCCCUUGGCUGGACGCCCCCUCCCCCUAUGGCAGCCAUCCUCCAUUGCUUCCUCCCCCAAGAUCUCCCCCUACGCAGCAAGGAUCGAGAAAAGGAGGGGCACGUUGAAUUGAAGAGGAAGAGAGGAUCAGGGAGAUGUUCUUCCCCAUCUCCUCUUGAAGAUUUCUUGGGGAAACCCUAGGUAUGGAUGAGAUCCUUGUUCCUCCCUGUAAUUAUAGGCUUUUGGAGGUUGUGGAUCAUGGGAAUUAAAGGAUUAGAGGUUGGAUUUGAUGUGGGGUUAGGUUUUGAUCUCGAAUUUAGUUUUCUGCAGAAUGGCAGAUUCGACAGUUUCUGUUCAUGCCAGUUUUCUGUGGUCUUAGUGGCCUCAAAAAAAUAAAAAGUCUAUGUAUGAGUCGUAGAUAAUUUGUAGAUCUUUCCGUGGCCGCGAAGAACACCUCAAUCGGACAUCCGACCAGAAAGUUAUUGCAGUUUUACUAUAGCAGUUUUUCAGUCUCAUAAUUCUGUGCAGAAUCUGUUCUCUUAAGAUUUAGGCAAUUUUAUCAACAGAAUUAAACUGUGGGUUGGUAAAAUAAGUUGUAGAUAAUUUUAUAAGCUUUCCAGAUUGUUAAAGAGUGCAUUCAUAUGAUUUGUGAAACUCCAGUUAUGUUUGUUUUACUGUGGCUGUUCCUGUUUACCUGACAAAAAUGAGUGGGUCUGUUCACUGGUGGGUUUCAUCUAGUAAAUGGCCGAAUUGGCUCUUCCAACUAUGGAGACUUUUGUAGAGGGAUAAAAGUUCUUACUUCCAGCAGAAUUUCAUAAUUUUUGGUUCAGCAGUUUUGGAGAUAUCGAAUUUUAAAGUUAACCAUACUGCUGUCUAAAACAGAUUCAGUCAGUUAUCUUGUCAGAUGUUUUAGAACUUGUAGAUGGCAGAAUUUAAUUAUCUAUUGAAUACUGAAGUUGUAGAGUAUUUUGUGUAGAUACUCAUAGAGUAUUUGUUUGAUAUCACCGCUGUUUUAAUUUUAAAGAUACAAAAUUAACAAACAGCGUUGCUGUUGUAUGGCAUGUGGUUUAGGGUGGGAGUCUUUCCACUGGGUCUUGGUUUCAAGUGUAGGAGUGUUUUGUUGAUUGAUGGCAAAUGUUUGUGAAAUAUGUGUACUAAGUUUUAUGCCCACUAGCAGGUGGCUACACUCCAGAUCAUGUCUAGUACAUUUCUUCUUCUUCGAUGAAGGCAAGUGAAUGUAGCGGUGGUUGCUUCCGUUCUGACCUGUUAUUUCUAUCGCCUACACUCUAAUAUUCAGAAGUAUCAGAUUCUCUCAUAAUUGGACUCUAUGGUGAUGCUUUACUUUCUUGCAUUAUACUGAUGCUCAAUCAUAUAUUGAUGAUGAUUAUGAUUUGAGUAUGACUCAUGAGAUUAAUUCACACCCCUGAAGGUAAAUGAAGUAUUAUUUGAGGUUGAUAUUGUAUCUGAAGGUAAAUGAAGUAUUAUUUGAGGUUUGUGUUGUAUCUGAAGGAAGUGAAGUUUAUUGAUAAAUGUAGCAUGCCAUAUACAUUGCAUGACUCAUUUGCAUAUGAAGUUUUGUCGUGACCUAUGGUCCGACUGUACCGGUACAACUUAGCAUCGUACGUUGCCCGAGAAGGGGUACGAUGCGGCUUCAUACCCUUAGAGGUAUGAAGGCAGAAGACAUAUGCAUUGCAUUCAUAUGCAUUCAUUGAAGUGAUAUUUGCAGAUGAUGUGGUUUUAUACCCCCAGAGGUAUGAAGAUAGAGUACCUACACAUUGCAUUCCUAUGCAUACAUUGAAGUGAUAUUUGCAGGUAUUGUUGACGCAGGGAAGUGUUAUAGAACCUAUUGUGGUUGUUCGAGGAAAUGAGAUGGUAUUGGUUAUAGUGGGACUACUGAGUUCUAUAUCUACAAGCAUUUCUGAUUUUUAAUUGUGACUCUUUUAAAAUGUUGAUGAAUUCAAUUUGUGGUUUAAAUAUCUCGUCAGAACAAUUAGCUUGCUGAGAUGUUUCAUCUCACUCUUGCAUUACUCAAUGCAGGUGCUUGUUGCUCAUCAAGGGGAGUGGGAAGUAGCAGCACAUCCACCUUCAUUCUCAUAAUAAUGCUGCCCAGACGCAGCCAUGAUUUAAUUAGAAACUUCUUGUCAAAGGAUGUUUGUUUUUAACUAGUCGUGCGCACUGAUUAAUUCAGUUCAUGUUGUUAUGGUUGUCUUCCCAUUGCUAGCAGAUUAUUAAUGUCUUAUAUGUUUUCUUAUCAUGAUAUCUAUUUAUACUUUGUUGCUUCCCCCGUUUAUGCAAUUUUCAAAGGAGAUGCUGUUGAAAUUUUAUAUAUGAAUAUUAGAUGUGUAGUUUAGUAGCAUUCUGGGGUGUUUGUGGAUCCCGGGGUGUUACAGUUGGUAUCAAAGCAUAGGCUUUAGAUUCUUGGCAAUUUGAAGAUAAAUUUGACACACUUGCACAUAUAGGAAGGGUAUGGGUUCAAAUAUCUUUGAUAUAUAUUAAUGUCUUUGGAGUGCAGAUGACAAUAGUUUCACCCCUCCCUAUUCCUUUACGGUGAUGUGGUAAGUUGUUUAUGGCUUAAUGCUUAAUAUAAUUUAUUUCUGAAAUUGUGAUAUUGUUUUAUUAAUGCGGUAGAUAUCGCUGGUCAUUGGUGAGAAUGAAGUUGUUAUUAUGCUUGUGAUAUACAAGUAUGCCUAUGUUGUUUUCACCAUGUUUUUCAUGGUUGAGUUUUAUUACAAUAAUAUUGUUAUAUAUGCUUGAUUGUGGAUGUUUCUAAGAGGAGUGUGAAUUGCGUGUUUUGGGGUACAAGGUAAUCAUCCAUUUGAAUUUAAGUUGUUGAGCGGUUGGUGGAUAGCUCCAACUAUCAUUGCAAAGAAUGAUUGUUUAUGUUGAGAAACCAGUUUUGAAAGAAAUGAAUAUUGGUACUUUAUAUGGAUUUUUGGGGGAAGUCUUUUCAUAGCCAGAAUGGCUUACAUGUCUCUCUCAUAUUGUGUGUUUUAGUUGCCACAAAGCCUAGAUGUGGUUUAAAGUGGUUGCCUGUUAGUCAUACUAAUUGUAGAAUAAAUCUUUGAUUCUCUUGAUCCAUUGAUUAUGUAUUGAUACAUUGAGGAUCUGAUGGUUCCCUUUUCGAUGCAUGCUUGUGGAGCCAUUUUUUAGACCACCUAUCUAUUGGUUUGAAGGAAGUCCUUGCCUAGCCUAGAGUUGGUUGGGUGUGGCUAGUCACCUAUUCCUAGAUCAUGUGGUGUUUACAUCAGCUUAAUAUGUUUGUCAAAUGUGUGAAGGAUUAGGGGUUAUUAUUAUUGACUUUGUAUGUCUGGUACUUUGAGUGCAUCGUAUGAUAGAAUGAAAUGUAAGUUUCUGAACUACAGUAGAUGAAGACUUAUAUUAUGUGUAGGUUAUCCUUACUAGUUGGAUAUUUUUCUUAGUUGAGAUGUUGAAUGAAGUAUAGUGACAUGGGUUAAGCAAGUAUUGUGUUGUUGUUGGGCUAUCAGUGCUCUAUGUAGAGUUUUUGGCAUUUCUUCGAUGAACUAUGCCGCACAAGAUGUUAUUGGCUUCUUUUGGCUUUAUUGCUCCAUUAGUUCUAUAGAUUUUCUCCCUUUUGGUGGGGUGCAAGGAAUGUUAGAUUACAUGAUUAUCUUUUCAUGAUGGCAAGAAUAAGGUUUAGGAAGAUUAGGAGUUUUGUUCCAAUAGAACUACUUGUUUCAUAGUGCUUUAAGGUGAGGUGUUUGAUCUUCUUAUACAUUCGUCGGGUGUAGAUGUUUCACCAUUUAAUUAAAAUUAAUGGUUGAAGUUGGUAAGGGUUGUGCUUGGUGCAUAUUACCCCUUCAUAAAAGAGUGUUGUCUUAAGACAUUGAUGUUGAUGUAUAGCUGCAUCCAAAUUUGAUGGUGUGAAAUUGGAGUGUUGAUUGCAACUAUGACAUGCUUUGUGCUUCAUUACAUGUUGUUUCAUGCUUGAUGUCAGGUCGUAUAGUUUCCUUAGACAAUUAGUCCAAGGUAGAAGUUCUUGUGUUAAUUAAGACCAAUAAUGGACCCAUGUUUUGAAUUGUGGUGCUAUAUGGGGUACCUUGGGUGUUUUGCUUGGAGUGGCCGAAUUCGAGGUCGAAUUCUUUUUAAGAGGGGUAGAGUGUAAUAUCCCAAAAAAAAAAUGUUGACCAAAAGUUAAUCUCUGGUGCGUGGAUGAGGUAAAGGGUUGUGGGCCAUUGGAUGCAAAGAUAGAAGUCAUCUGAGGCGUCGUUUCUUUCUCCCACAAAAAACCCUAGGUGGCCACCCCUUUUUUUUCCCUUCACCCCCCUCUUGGCCGCCACCCCCUUUUUCUCCCCCUUGGCUGGACGCCCCCUCCCCCUAUGGCAGCCAUCCUCCAUUGCUUCCUCCCCCAAGAUCUCCCCCUACGCAGCAAGGAUCGAGAAAAGGAGGGGCACGUUGAAUUGAAGAGGAAGAGAGGAUCAGGGAGAUGUUCUUCCCCAUCUCCUCUUGAAGAUUUCUUGGGGAAACCCUAGGUAUGGAUGAGAUCCUUGGUCCUCCCUGUAAUUAUAGGCUUUUGGAGGUUGUGGAUCAUGGGAAUUAAAGGAUUAGAGGUUGGAUUUGAUGUGGGGUUAGGUUUUGAUCUCGAAUUUAGUUUUCUGCAGAAUGGCAGAUUCGACAGUUUCUGUUCAUGCCAUUUUUCUGUGGUCUUAGUGGCCUCAAAAAAAUAAAAAGUCUAUGUAUGAGUCGUAGAUAAUUUGUAGAUCUUUCCGUGGCCGCGAAGAACACCUCAAUCGGACAUCCGACCAGAAAGUUAUUGCAGUUUUACUAUAGCAGUUUUUCAGUCUCAUAAUUCUGUGCAGAAUCUGUUCUCUUAAGAUUUAGGCAAUUUUAUCAACAGAAUUAAACUGUGGGUUGGUAAAAUAAGUUGUAGAUAAUUUUAUAAGCUUUCCAGAUUGUUAAAGGGUGCAUUAAUAUGAUUUGUGAAACUCCAGUUAUGUUUGUUUUACUGUGGCUGUUCCUGUUUACCUGACAAAAAUGAGUGGGUCUGUUCACUGGUGGGUUUCAUCUAGUAAAUGGCCGAAUUGGCUCUUCCAACUAUGGAGACUUUUGUAGAGGGAUAAAAGUUCUUACUUCCAGCAGAAUUUCAUAAUUUUUGGUUCAGCAGUUUUGGAGAUAUCGAAUUUUAAAGUUAACCAUACUGCUGUCUAAAACAGAUUCAGUCAGUUAUCUUGUCAGAUGUUUUAGAACUUGUAGAUGGCAGAAUUUAAUUAUCUAUUGAAUACUGAAGUUGUAGAGUAUUUUGUGUAGAUACUCAUAGAGUAUUUGUUUGAUAUCACCGCUGUUUUAAUUUUAAAGAUACAAAAUUAACAAACAGCGUUGCUGUUGUAUGGCAUGUGGUUUAGGGUGGGAGUCUUUCCACUGGGUCUUGGUUUCAAGUGUAGGAGUGUUUUGUUGAUUGAUGGCAAAUGUUUGUGAAAUAUGUGUACUAAGUUUUAUGCCCACUAGCAGGUGGCUACACUCCAGAUCAUGUCUAGUACAUUUCUUCUUCUUCGAUGAAGGCAAGUGAAUGUAGCGGUGGUUGCUUCCGUUCUGACCUGUUAUUUCUAUCGCCUACACUCUAAUAUUCAGAAGUAUCAGAUUCUCUCAUAAUUGGACUCUAUGGUGAUGCUUUACUUUCUUGCAUUAUACUGAUGCUCAAUCAUAUAUUGAUGAUGAUUAUGAUUUGAGUAUGACUCAUGAGAUUAAUUCACACCCCUGAAGGUAAAUGAAGUAUUAUUUGAGGUUGAUAUUGUAUCUGAAGGUAAAUGAAGUAUUAUUUGAGGUUUGUGUUGUAUCUGAAGGAAGUGAAGUUUAUUGAUAAAUGUAGCAUGCCAUAUACAUUGCAUGACUCAUUUGCAUAUGAAGUUUUGUCGUGACCUAUGGUCCGACUGUACCGGUACAACUUAGCAUCGUACGUUGCCCGAGAAGGGGUACGAUGCGGCUUCAUACCCUUAGAGGUAUGAAGGUAGAAGACAUAUGCAUUGCAUUCAUAUGCAUUCAUUGAAGUGAUAUUUGCAGAUGAUGUGGUUUUAUACCCCCAGAGGUAUGAAGAUAGAGUACCUACAUAUUGCAUUCCUAUGCAUACAUUGAAGUGAUAUUUGCAGGUAUUGUUGACGCAGGGAAGUGUUAUAGAACCUAUUGUGGUUGUUCGAGGAAAUGAGAUGGUAUUGGUUAUAGUGGGACUACUGAGUUCUAUAUCUACAAGCAUUUCUGAUUUUUAAUUGUGACUCUUUUAAAAUGUUGAUGAAUUCAAUUUGUGGUUUAAAUAUCUCGUCAGAACAAUUAGCUUGCUGAGAUGUUUCAUCUCACUCUUGCAUUACUCAAUGCAGGUGCUUGUUGCUCAUCAAGGGGAGUGGGAAGUAGCAGCACAUCCACCUUCAUUCUCAUAAUAAUGCUGCCCAGACGCAGCCAUGAUUUAAUUAGAAACUUCUUGUCAAAGGAUGUUUGUUUUUAACUAGUCGUGCGCACUGAUUAAUUCAGUUCAUGUUGUUAUGGUUGUCUUCCCAUUGCUAGCAGAUUAUUAAUGUCUUAUAUGUUUUCUUAUCAUGAUAUCUAUUUAUACUUUGUUGCUUCCCCCGUUUAUGCAAUUUUCAAAGGAGAUGCUGUUGAAAUUUUAUAUAUGAAUAUUAGAUGUGUAGUUUAGUAGCAUUCUGGGGUGUUUGUGGAUCCCGGGGUGUUACACAAAGUGAAGAAGAGGUUAUGUUCAGAUACUAUAUUAUUAUUACUUGAGUUUUUAGUUUACUUCUUGUGUUCAAUUUACUCUUUCGACUUUUUCAGACUCAUCAGGUUAUGGAAGAAGCUAAGAAAGCCGAGGCUGCAGAGCUAGAAAGGCGCAAAACGGAACUUUCUCCACCACCGAAACCAUAUGACCCCGAAGCCGAUCCAACACUAAAAGGAAUUCUCGAUGAAUUCAGGGUGGUGAACGUAGCGAUAGACGAAGCUGGUAAUACAUUGUUGAAUGAAGCUGCAGAGAAAGUUCUAAAGGAGGACUAGGAUUAGUAGGAAACUUGUUCUUGACUGUGGUCUUGAGAGACUUGUAAAAACAUUUGAAUAUAUGUUUGCUCUGUAUAAAAACAAAUACAUGAUUUGUAUUAUAUAUACACUUAGUAUGUGUAUAAUAUUUCUUUAUGGAGUGUGAAAUUAGUAUA